rnacentral:tRNA from 1 species
GGCAGUGUAGCAGAAGGGGUUAUAAGCAUGGGCUCUGGUACCUGAUUGCCUGGGUUCAAAUCCUAGCUCUGCCA